CUUUCCUUCUGUCUCUCUCGCACCUCCACCGUUCAAAAGACUCGCUGGAAACAUCUGCCCAUUCUAGACGACUUAACAAAUAAAUGCUUUUUCACUCGCUCCAUCACCUGCAAUUAUUCCCAGACAGAUAAUAAUGAAGUCAAUGGAGAGAAGGGGAGUCUUUCCUAGCUUCAGAUAAGGAAUCGAUGGGAGUUUUACCCUGGGGAAAAUUUGCCCGUGGGAACAAUGGAACCGCAAAGUAUAAAUUGACUUAUCGUUGAGCGGAAUAAAAUUAAUGAAAUUUCCAACGUAACUUUUUGGUGGUACAUUAGAUUUAAUGAGAAAUAUGAAAGCUGAGAGAAUUUUUGAUAAGCUGAGGGUCAUUAACGGGGGAGGGAUAGUGCAAAUGUGUCAAGCGGCUAUAGAUAUUUCUCUUGACCUCAGCAGCCUUAUGGAUCGUGCAAACUCAUGGAUUUUUCAUGCAAAUGAGGAGAAAAAAUAAGGCAGAACAAUAGAUGAAGAAAGAGGAAUUGUAGGAAGAAUAGAUAUGGUGAUUCAAUAGACAUUACACAAAGUUGAUCUAUACCUCAGUGAGUUGCUAAAUAAAACAAAUUUUUAGAUGAUUCUCUUGUGACUGAUGAAUCUCGCUAGGUCUCAUAGAAUAUCAGUGAUAGGGUGAUGUGGCGUGCACGUAGGCGAAUGAUUAAAAAGCCAUUGAAAUACUGUCUUGCGCUGUAUUAAUGGAUCUUUGACAUUUCUGUCACUUCUACGGUUUAUGACGGCAGUAUGAAAUUCCAUGAAAAAAUUAAUCUUCUAUUGGACUGUAUCAUCCACCAAUUCUCACAAGCUUCAAUUAAAAAAAAAUCGUGGAGAUAUCUUCCGCUAUCCCACUCUAUCUUCGAGAGAACAAAAAAUUUUGGGCUCAACAUAAAAUUAAGUCAAUACAUUUGACGAUGAACUCGAAAAUUUUAGUGGCAAAAACAUGCCGGAUGACACGAUUAUACUCACCGAGAGAGACGACCACGCGCGCCCUGUCACACUGCCCACGCGCUUCACCCAUUACCGCUAAUCAACUCUUUAGAUAAAUCCGGAACAAUUUUCAUAUUUAGCAUAUAAUAUAUGAUCUUUUUCACGAGUUAUACUAUUUACAGUGAGUACAAUUAAAAUUAUACCAUACAUUGCUAAAGCUUUUCACUCAUAAAACUUACACAUGGGAAUGAUGUCAUUAAAACACUUGUUCUUUUGGCACUCUUUUCUCCCGUUCUCCCGUAGUUUUAUAAUUCUUUCCAAUAAAUCACAAUUGUUCGACAAUGUCAUGAUCAUUGACAUACGGAAUUCUCACGAGCCUUUGUGAAUGUUUUGUUUUUUUCAAUUCUUUUUCAAAAUAGGCUAUUGUCUUUGUGAGACCUUCAGUCAGGGAUACUUUUGGCUCCCAAUUGAGGAACUUCUUUGCUCGACUUAUGUCGGGUCUCCUUCUCUGGGGAUCGUCUUCUACUGCCGCUAACUCGACUAUUUUGC